AUCAACUUUCGAUGGUAGGAUAGAGGCCUACCAUGGUGGUAACGGGUAACGGGGUGUUAGGGCACGACACCGGAGAGGGAGCCUGAGAAACGGCUACCACAUCCAAGGAUGGCAGCAGGCGCGCAAAUUACCCAAUCCCGACACGGGGAGGUAGUGACAAUAAAUAACAAUACGGGGCUCUUUCGGGUCUCGUAAUUGGAAUGAGUACAAUUUAAAUCCCUUAACGAGGAACAAUUGGAGGGCAAGUCUGGUGCCAGCAGCCGCGGUAAUUCCAGCUCCAAUAGCGUAUAUUAAAGUUGUUGCAGUUAAAAAGCUCGUAGUUGAAUUUCGGGAUUGACACAUCGGUCGUGCCUUAAGGGGUAUGAACUGGUGUAGUCAAUUUCUCACCUUCUGGAGAACCGCGAUGCCCUUAAUUGGGUGUCGCGGGGAACCAGGACCUUUACUUUGAAAAAAUUAGAGUGUUUAAAGCAGGCAUUUUGCUUGAAUACAUUAGCAUGGAAUAAUAAAAUAGGACGGCAUGAUUCUAUUUUGUUGGUUUCUAGGAUCACCGUAAUGAUUAAUAGGGAUAGUUGGGGGCAUUAGUAUUCAAUUGUCAGAGGUGAAAUUCUUGGAUUUAUUGAAGACUAACUACUGCGAAAGCAUUUGCCAAGGAUGUUUUCAUCAAUCAAGAACGAAAGUUAGGGGAUCGAAGACGAUCAGAUACCGUCGUAGUCUUAACCAUAAACUAUGCCGACUAGGAAUCAGACGAUGUUAAUUUUUUAAUGACUCGUUUGGCACCUUACGGGAAACCAAAGUGUUUGGGUUC
rnacentral:rRNA from 1 species